AAGAAAUACUCUCAUCUCACCCUCCCAAAGUGUUGGGAUUACAGGUGCCAUAACCUUUCCCCUGGGUUCCUUAGCUCUUGUGAAGGUAUCUUCAUGCAUGGAUGGUAGUUCAAAUUGAUGUUUCUUUGAAAG